rnacentral:rRNA from 1 species
CCGGUAAACGGCGGCCGUAACUAUAACGGUCCUAAGGUAGCGAAAUUCCUUGUCGGGUAAGUUCCGACCUGCACGAAUGGCGUAAUGAUGGCCAGGCUGUCUCCACCCGAGACUCAGUGAAAUUGAACUCGCUGUGAAGAUGCAGUGUACCCGCGGCAAGACGGAAAGACCCCGUGAACCUUUACUAUAGCUUGACACUGAACAUUGAGCCUUGAUGUGUAGGAUAGGUGGGAGGCUUUGAAGUGUGGACGCCAGUCUGCAUGGAGCCGACCUUGAAAUACCACCCUUUAAUGUUUGAUGUUCUAACGUUGGCCCGUAAUCCGGGUUGCGGACAGUGUCUGGUGGGUAGUUUGACUGGGGCGGUCUCCUCCUAAAGAGUAACGGAGGAGCACGAAGGUUGGCUAAUCCUGGUCGGACAUCAGGAGGUUAGUGCAAUGGCAUAAGCCAGCUUGACUGCGAGCGUGACGGCGCGAGCAGGUGCGAAAGCAGGUCAUAGUGAUCCGGUGGUUCUGAAUGGAAGGGCCAUCGCUCAACGGAUAAAAGGUACUCCGGGGAUAACAGGCUGAUACCGCCCAAGAGUUCAUAUCGACGGCGGUGUUUGGCACCUCGAUGUCGGCUCAUCACAUCCUGGGGCUGAAGUAGGUCCCAAGGGUAUGGCUGUUCGCCAUUUAAAGUGGUACGCGAGCUGGGUUUAGAACGUCGUGAGACAGUUCGGUCCCUAUCUGCCGUGGGCGCUGGAGAACUGAGGGGGGCUGCUCCUAGUACGAGAGGACCGGAGUGGACGCAUCACUGGUGUUCGGGUUGUCAUGCCAAUGGCACUGCCCGGUAGCUAAAUGCGGAAGAGAUAAGUGCUGAAAGCAUCUAAGCACGAAACUUGCCCCGAGAUGAGUUCUCCCUGACUCCUUGAGGGUCCUGAAGGAACGUUGAAGACGACGACGUUGAUAGGCCGGGUGUGUAAGCGCAGCGAUGCGUUGAGCUAACCGGUACUAAUGAACCGUGAGGCUUAACCUUACAACGCCGAAG